AAGGAUCAUUACCGAGUGCGGGUCCUUUGGGCCCAACCUCCCAUCCGUGUCUAUUGUACCCUGUUGCUUCGGCGGGCCCGCCGCUUGUCGGCCGCCGGGGGGGCGCCUCUGCCCCCCGGGCCCGUGCCCGCCGGAGACCCCAACACGAACCCUGUCUGAAAGCGUGCAGUCUGAGUCGAUUGUUUGCAAUCAGUUAAAACUUUCAACAAUGGAUCUCUUGGUUCCGGCAUCGAUGAAGAACGCAGCGAAAUGCGAUAACUAAUGUGAAUUGCAGAAUUCAGUGAAUCAUCGAGUCUUUGAACGCACAUUGCGCCCCCUGGUAUUCCGGGGGGCAUGCCUGUCCGAGCGUCAUUGCUGCCCUCAAGCCCGGCUUGUGUGUUGGGUCGCCGUCCCCUCUCUCCGGGGGGACGGGCCCGAAAGGCAGCGGCGGCACCGCGUCCGAUCCUCGAGCGUAUGGGGCUUUGUCACAUGCUCUGUAGGAUUGGCCGGCGCCUGCCGACGUUUUCCAACCCUUCUUUCCAGGUUGACCUCGGAUCAGGUAGGGAUACCCGCUGAACUUAA
rnacentral:rRNA from 1 species